rnacentral:rRNA from 1 species
ACUCCUACGGGAGGCAGCAGUGGGGAAUAUUGCACAAUGGGCGCAAGCCUGAUGCAGCAACGCCGUGUGAGUGAAGAAGGUUUUCGGAUCGUAAAACUCUGUCCUAAGGGAAGAAAAAAUGACGGUACCUUAGGAGGAAGCCCCGGCUAACUACGUGCCAGCAGCCGCGGUAAUACGUAGGGGGCAAGCGUUAUCCGGAAUCACUGGGCGUAAAGGGUGCGUAGGCGGCUUGACAAGCCAGGGGUGAAAGGCAUUGGCUCAACCAAUGUAAGCCUUUGGAACUGUUAAGCUUGAGUGCAGGAGAGGUAAGUGGAAUUCCUAGUGUAGAGGUGAAAUUCGUAGAUAUUAGGAGGAACACCAGUGGCGAAGGCGACUUACUGGACUGUAACUGACGCUGAUGCACGAAAGCGUGGGUAGCGAACAGGAUUAGAUACCCUGGUAGCACAGAG